UAUUAACAAAAAAGUUAUGCAAAAUUUUCGAUCUUAAAAAGUACAUGUUAAUGGUAAAAAACCGAAAUUUCGAUUUUUCUCAAAAACCGUAAACUUUUGAGUUUUUGGUAAAUACGUACAAGGUGCCCCUUUGCAAGGAGCACUUGACAGUUUUUAAAUGAAAGCUCUAUCUUUAUUAACAAAAAAGUUAUGCAAAAUUUUCGAUCUAAAAAAGUACAUGUUAAUGGUAAAAAACCGAAAUUUCGAUUUUUCUCAAAAACCGUAAACUUUUGAGUUUUUGAUAAAUACGUACAAGGUGCCCCUUUGCAAGGAGCACUUGACAGUUUUUAAAUGAAA